GUCGAAAUCAUAUUUUUUCAGCUCUGUGCAUAAAUGCACAUUUCCACUCAAGAAAAUUUUCCGCUUAAAGAAAAUUUUGUAAAAUGUGAUUGGCCGACACAAAUUUUCCGUCGGAAAAAAUUUUGAAGUUGAAAAUUUUCAACUUUAAACAAUGAUAUUUUUGGAAAAUUUUCUGUCCGUGGAAAUUUUUCUUGAGUGGAAAUGGGCCUUAAAAAUGUUCCUCGAAUUUUCAAACACUUGCUGAAGUAGAGGUUGCUUAUCUGGCAAACAUUCAACAUCACAUGCUCUCUGCAAAGUUCGUUUUACUUUCGUAAAUAACGCAUACAUUUGGGUCUGUUCAUAUUCUUAAGGCCCAUUUCCACUCAAGAAAAUUUUCCACGAACAGAACAUUUUCCAAAAAUAUCAUUGUUAAAAGUUGAAAAUUUUCAACUUCAAAAUUUCUUUCGACGGAACAUUUGUGUCGGCCAAUCACAUUUUUUAAAUUUUUCUUUCCGCGAAAAUUUUUCUUGAGUGGAAAUGGGCCUUUGAAGAGAAAGUGAACGUAAUUUCAAUACUCAGACAAUAAUGUUGCACUCGAUUCCAAAAGGCGGGAAACGAUGUCGACCAUUUCAAUCGCACUGAUGCAAGAAUGGUGUCAUUUGACAGCUUAUAGGACCGGGUUUUUAUUGGUAUAUAAAGGGUAAAUCUAUAUGCUUAGGGACGGACCAUUAGAAAGGUGAUGGGGGGGGGGG